UCAACACCCCACCCAGGCGAUAGGCAUCUUUCGAAAUCCUCCAACCCAAACACACCCACAGAGUCUCUCGCUCCAAGGCUGCUCUGUUUGAGCUGCCCUGCACUACAGCGCUCCCUCAAGAAGAGCCCGUACGAAUUGCACAAGGGGCCCCCAAAGCAAGAAAGUGAACCCGCUGCUGCCUGGGCUUUGGGAAACAGCACCUCGAGGGACUUGGCGAAGGCUGGGUUCAUCUUUGCAAAGGCUGGAGGACCAGCCGGUUUGGUGGGGGUAAAGGGAGGGGGAACCAUUCUCAGCAGCGUGCCAGCAGAGUCCUCGCUUGCUCAAGGCCACCAGAGGAUGGAGGUACCAUGUCAUGAGCUGGGAUUCCAUGGAAGUCAUAAAUAAAUACUGAGUCCCUACCUCCCAUGAGACAAGCAAAAUUUUUUCCCCCUCAGUAGAUGGAAUGACAUGAACAAAAAUGGAAAAAGAGAAGGAUUUGGAACUUAAUCUCUCACUUUUUAAACUUUUUGCUCACCGUGACUUGUCAAGUUGUCAAAGAUGAGUGAGGGGAAGCAGGAAAGAGAAGGCAGAUGCUGUCUAAAAACUGAACAGUGCCUCCUUCUUGCACAGCACUUCCAUCCACACUUUAAAGAUGGAGGAAUUGAGGAACAAAGAGUUGGAAUGCCUUGCCCAGGAACACCAAGCCCACCCCAUCAGGGUUGUAUCUGUACCCGUGUUUCCUGGCUGUCUGCCUCAAUCAUUAGGCAGUCCUGUCUCUUCUGCAAGUAAGCCAGUCACAGAAUUGUUCUGUGUGCCCUGGCGUCUGUGGAAACUGUCACCAAAUUCAGAGGAGCCAAAGAUUGACCUGACCUGUGUUUUUUAAGGCUCCAAUUCUCCCGUAUUUAAGCAUCUCCUAACUUUUAAGAACAACUUUGCUGACCUUAAAGUACCUUUUUGCACCACUGGUAUUGAACUGCCCAACUUGAAACUCGAAGUCUGUGGGAGGUAUCUCCUUUGUCUUCAGAGAACUUUGGAUCAGUCCUAUGAGACUUCUGUCAAAAUCCUGCUGAGUUUUUUAAGCAGAGGAACAAGUAAUUUCCCCAUUGACAUUGGUGUGAAUGAAGCUUUACAGGCAAAAUGCCAAAGACAAGGCCCCUGCCCAAAAUAAUGGCAGCUGAUGACGAAGGGUUGUAAUAAAAGGCAGAGAGCUCAGCAUCACACUGUUCACUUAUCCCUCCACUUGCUGAAAUGCUGCAUGUAUGUCCAGCCAUACAAGUUCUUCCUGGUAGAUAAAACAAAUACUUACAUGAAGAGAACAUUGUCCAAGCACUUUGCCUGGAGGAUUAUACUUAAUGAGAAGGCUAUCCUGACACAGUUAUGGACUGACUCACUCAGUCCCAUUGGAAUGUUAAAUUAUUUAGGCCUGCAUCUUGGUUCCACUUAAUUCAAAAGGAAUCUUGCUACUAACUGUAACAGCAGCUGGAUCUAGCCUCACAACAAAAGGCAAUGAUACCAUAAUAUAGGAUGUCAAAGAGCCUUCAUCUCUUCAUUGUAAACAGAGCACAUCUAAGAUCAUUUCCCACACAUAGGAACUCCAAAGAGAAAUUAUUGCUAAAGCCAGGCACAGACUACUUAACUUAUUCCUUUACAUGAACUUUUAGUGAAUUUGCUUUCAUGAGACUUUAAUUUCAUUUGUUUUCCACAGAGUUUAUGUUCUUCUGGAAUCUUGUCCAAAGCUACAUGAAUUUAAUAAACAAAAUUAAAUCAUCAA